rnacentral:rRNA from 1 species
UACGAAGGUGGCAAGCGUUGUUCGGAUUUACUGGGCGUACAGGGAGCGUAGGCGGUUGGGUAAGCCCUCCGUGAAAUCUCCGGGCCUAACCCGGAAAGUGCGGAGGGGACUGCUCGGCUAGAGGAUGGGAGAGGAGCGCGGAAUUCCCGGUGUAGCGGUGAAAUGCGUAGAGAUCGGGAGGAAGGCCGGUGGCGAAGGCGGCGCUCUGGAACAUUUCUGACGCUGAGGCUCGAAAGCGUGGGGAGCAAACAGGAUUAGAAACCCCCGUAGUCC